rnacentral:rRNA from 1 species
UACGUAGGUGGCAAGCGUUAUCCGGAAUUAUUGGGCGUAAAGCGCGCGCAGGUGGUUUCUUAAGUCUGAUGUGAAAGCCCUGGGCUUAACCUGGGAAUUGCGUUGGAGACUGAUAAGCUAGAGUCGGACAGAGGGCCGUGGAAUUUCCGGUGUAGCGGUGAAAUGCGUAGAGAUCGGAAAGAACACCAGUGGCGAAGGCGGCGGCCUGGGUCCAGACUGACACUGAGGUGCGAAAGCAUGGGGAGCAAACAGG